GUCCCGCCUGCCCUGUGACUAUAUGUUUAACGGCCGCGGUAUUUUAACCGUGCGAAGGUAGCGCAAUCACUUGUCUUUUAAAUGAAGACCUGUAUGAAUGGCAUAACGAGGGCUUAACUGUCUCCUUUUUCAAGUCAAUGAAAUUGAUCUCCCCGUGCAGAAGCGGGGAUACACCCAUAAGACGAGAAGACCCUAUGGAGCUUUAGACAUUAGAGUAUCCCAUGUUAAACACCCCUAAAUAAAGGACUUAACUAAAUGAAACAUACCCCCAUGUCUUUGGUUGGGGCGACCGCGGGGAAACAAAGAACCCCCAUGUGGAAGGGGAGCACUGCCUCCUACAACCAAGAGCUGCAGCUCUACUAAACAGAAUUUCUGACCAAAUAUGAUCCGGCAACGCCGAUCAACGGACCGAGUUACCCUAGGGAUAACAGCGCAAUCCUCUUCUAGAGCCCAUAUCGACAAGAGGGUUUACGACCUCGAUGUUGGAUCAGGACAUCCUAAUGGUGCAACCGCUAUUAAGGGUUCGUUUGUUCAACGAUUAAAGUCCUACGUGAUCUGAGUUCAGACCGGA
rnacentral:rRNA from 1 species